GAGCUGUGGAUAUGUAACACCUAAGUGCCUGUUUUCUAACUACCGAAAAUCUGCACUACUGGUCUGUGAUGUUGAGGUGAAGAGUAUAGAAACUGAAGGAAGAGUAUCAUCUAGUCUGAAAUCACCAUGUCCUUGCUCCAUCUCUGCUCUGAUCAACAGAGUGAGGCCAGGAACCAGCUGCUGGGGUAUCCCAGUGUCAGUGUGAAUUUGUGUCUGCAGCCACCU